rnacentral:rRNA from 1 species
UACGUAGGGGGCUAGCGUUGUCCGGAUUUAUUGGGCGUAAAGAGCGUGUAGGCGGCCAGGUAGGUCUGCUGUGAAAACUCGAGGCUCAACCUCGAGACGUCGGCGGAAACCAUCUGGCUAGAGUCCGGAAGAGGAGAGUGGAAUUCCUGGUGUAGCGGUGAAAUGCGCAGAUAUCAAGAGGAACACCUGCGGCGAAGGCGGGUUGCUGGGCCGACACUGACGCUGAUGCGCGAAAGCUAGGGGAGCGAACGGG